rnacentral:rRNA from 1 species
UACGUAGGUGGCAAGCGUUGUCCGGAUUUAUUGGGUUUAAAGGGUGCGUAGGCGGAUACUUAAGUCAGGGGUGAAAGACGGCCGCUCAACGGUCGCAGUGCCUUUGAUACUGGGUAUCUUGAGUGCAGACGAGGUCUGUGGAAUGGAUGGUGUAGCGGUGAAAUGCUUAGAUACCAUCCAGAACACCAAUUGCGAAGGCAGCAGACUAGGGUGCAACUGACGCUGAGGCACGAAAGUGUGGGGAUCAAACAGG